rnacentral:rRNA from 1 species
UAUAUUGGACAAUGGGGGCAACCCUGAUCCAGCUAUGCCGCGUGUGCGAAGAAGUUCUUCGGAUUGUAAAGCACUUUAAGUUGGGAGGAAGGGCUUUAGGUUAAUACCCUGAAGUUUUGACGUUACCAACAGAAUUAGCACCGGCUAACUCUGCGCCAGAAGCCGCGGUAAUACAGAGGGUUCAAGCGUUAAUCGGAAUUACUGGGCGUAAAGCGCGCGUAGGUUGUUCAGUAAGUAGGGUGUGAAAUCCCCGGGCUUAACCUGGGAACUGCUUUCAUAACUGCUGAGCUAGAGUACGGUAGAGGGUAGUGGAAUUUCCUGUGUAGCGGUGAAAUGCGUAGAUAUAGGAAGGAACACCAGUGGCGAAGGCGACUACCUGGACUGAUAAUGACACUGAGGUGCGAAAGCGUGGGGAGCAAAC